UGGCAGAGGGCAAGGAGAGGAAGCCGCCCCCGUCUAGGGGGCCCGCCCCAGCCCCACGGGAAGUGGGACGGGGAAAGGCACCCUACAAAGAAAGGACUCCUAGCUCCCAACUGGUUCGAAUCCCACCUCGGCCACUUACUGGGUGUGUGACCUUGGGUAGGGUAACGCCUCUCUGUGAGCCUCUGCUUUUUCCAGAAGAAACGGGAAAAAUCAAAGUGCUGCCUUCUCUGAGUCAAUUAGGCGACCCUCAUUACGGCGACAGUCGGGAAGUAUGGGGUCUGGGCCCGCCCGGGCACACGGAGGGUGCCUGCCGCAGGUGGCCGGUUCCCUCGGGGCUGCCCAAGGCUGGGCGAGGGCCUCUUCGCCCAGCUGGUCGGGAUCAGGACGCGACACGGAAGAGACCCCAGCUCUGCCCUGACCCCGGUCCGGGUCCGCAGGACGCAGCCCACUCGCCCUCAGAACACCGGCUCGCCUGGCACCCGGCGCGGCCCGGGCCCCGCUCGGACUCGAACCUGGUGGGGGCGCGCCCGGCAGAAAGCGGGGUGCUGGGACAGCGGGACCCCCACGCGCGACCCUGGUCUCCCGGGCCAGUCCCCUCCCCAGGUCCGGGCGGCUCACCAGGGCCGACUUGGAUGCUGCGGACUGAAGUCCACGUCUUCUUGCUGGAUGUUGGCUGGUGUCAUUCUCACUCCUAGAGGCCACUGCAUUCCUUCCACGAUGGCUUGAACACCUCCAUCAUCAGAGCCAGCAAGCAAGAGCACGCUGAAGACGCUUCGAGAUGCAGCAAGACGCCUGUAAUCCCAGCCCUUUGGGAGACCGAGGCAGGUGGAUCACGAGGUCAGGAGAUCGAGACCAUCCUGGCCAACAUGGUGAAGCCCCGUCUCUACUGAAAUACAAAAAGUUAGCCAGACGUGGUGGCACGUGUCUAUAGUCCCAGCUACUCGGAGGCUGAGGCAGGGGAAUCGCUUGAACCCGGGAGGCGGAAAUUGCAGUGAGCUGAGAUUGCGCCACUGCACUCCAGCCUGGCAACAGAGCGAGACUCCAUCUCAAAAAAAAAGGUGCUGCAAGACGCUUCCAAUCUCUGUGACUUCCCCUUCUGCCAUACCUCUUUACUUUUUCCCCCUCUUUUGGGGAGGGGGGAGGGUUUAAAAUAAAUAUAAAAUUUACCAUCAUAACUGUGAAAGGAAAAUAAAUCUCAGGACUCCAAAAUCACUAAGCCAAAGGGAAAAGUCAAGCUGGGAACUGCGUUGGGCAAACUGCCUCGCCUUUUCUUCUUUAAUAAAAUAGCUACGAAGAUUUAAAAAGCUACAUACCUCCCUCACAAUUUGCCCGCUAGGAAAUUUUUCGUGGGCACCCAAGAUCUUUACCCUAAAACAGUUUUGUUGAAUUUUACCCUAACAAUGUACAUUGACAACUGAUCUUCACAGGUUCCAAACAAAGGAUGGAACUCUAAGUCAUCCCUCUGCUCACCUGAUUGCUUCCUCUGGUAUAAAAGUGCAGAUUCACCGAGCCAGACUAAGGCAUAAGUGACUAUUCCUCUACCCCCGCAACCUGUAAAUUGUGUAUUUCAGUGAAAGUCUGAUCAAAGACUCACAAGAAUGCAACCUUUGUCUCUUAUCUCUCCACAUAUUUUUAAAAUUUCUCCCUCUUUCCCAAUAUCCACCCUUUCCCUUUUUUUUUUUUUUUUUUUUUUUUGAGACAGAGUCUUGCUUCGUUGCCCAGGCUAGAGUGCAGUGGUGCGAUCUCAGGUCACUCAGCAACCUCCGCCACAGCACCUGGCCAGUUUCCCCUUUAAAUAUUGAAGUCCUACAAAUCAUCCUUGAAGGAAGGCAUAGACCUGCCUCCCAGGCACUCCUUAACCUUGGCAAAAUAAACUUACUAAAUAGAUCGAGACCUGUCUCAGAUAUUUUUAGUUCACAUAACUAUAUUGAAGUGUACAGCUCAUUGAUAUUAAAUAUAUUAAUGAUGCUAUACAACUAUCACCUCCAACUCCAGAACUCUUUUUAUCUUGCAAAACUGAAAUUCUGGACCCAUUAAGCACUGACUCCUCAUUCCCUCAGCCCCUGGAAACCACCAUUCUCCUUUCUAUCCCUAAGAUUUUGGCGACUCUAGGUUCCUCAUUUAAGUGGAAUCCUGCAGUAUUUGUUCUUUUGUGACUGGCUUAUGUCAUUUAGCCUAAAAUCCUCAAGGUUCAUCCAUGUAGCAUGUGUCCAAAUUUCCUUCCUUUUUAAAGCUGAAUAAUACUCCACUGUAUGUAUCCAUGACAUUUUGCUUAUCCAGUCAUCCAUGGAUGGGCACUGGGUUGCUUCCACCUUUUGACUAUUGUGAAUAAUG
rnacentral:lncRNA from 10 species